GAAGGUAUAAAAAUAUCAAUUGUAUUAGGGAAUAUUUCAUAUCCCCUGUUUCAUCCAAUCUUGUAAAGAGUUUGGAAGUUGAUAGGUCACUCCUUUUUCAAACUUAUAACUGAUGCUAACUGUCAUCACCAUGGAAAUGCCUAGAACUCUUGAUUUCUCUAUUUCAAGAGUCCCAUAGGAAUGUCCAGACAAGCUUAUGUAGAUAUCCUUCUUACAGGAACAAUGGACAAUACUGGAGCCAGGAUCUGUCUACAGUAUUCACAUUAACAGGUUUUGUGGAUUGAAGAGUACAGAUGUGUGCAGCAACAGUUUUGUCAGGCGCAGCAGUUAUAAGUCAUGUUCUGGCUUUGCAUCCUAGAAUUGAUAUCAAGUUUUCAUACAUAUUUGUUCCAUAUGAGACUUCCAAAAAAAUUCAGGAGUGCCAGUUCCAAGGGAGAUGAAGGAGUCCUGUGGGUGAUCAUGUUGACAGGAGGACUAACAAAAAUAUGUGAAAAGAAUCUUGGAUUUUCAGCUGGGAAACCUAGAAGAGAUCAUAGCCAGAGACUAUGCAUCACAUGCUGCCUUUGAAUUCAUGGCAAAAUAGAACGUCUGCAUUAAAGGAUCAACAUCUUCCAUUAAACUAGUUUUAUUUGAAAAAAAUUGGCCCAAUAUACAUAAAUGAAGUAGAUGCAGACAGUCUCUAAACUUGGAAAACAUAAGUAACAUCUAUAAACCCUAGAUGUGCAAUCAACAUGUGAGUCUUAGCCAAAUGCAAUCUACUGGAGCCUGUGUUUCAGUCCAUAUUUGAAUUAUUAUUAUUUUAAAAAACGUGUUUGCUCUAAAUGUUUACCUCACAAGAAUUGGUACAUCAUUAAAACCUAAACACAUAAACUAUGACUCUAACCUCAUUGCUCACUUAUCUUUGCUGUGAAACUAUCAUUAGCCUCUUUUCUCAUAGAAUUAAUGUUAGUAAUUUUAAUUAAAGCUGAAUAAAAUUUAUUAUUUUAUUUAUUUAUUUAAGCUUAAUCUCUUAAGCCUAUUGUGAAAG
rnacentral:lncRNA from 1 species